AUUGAACGCUGGCGGCAGGCCUAACACAUGCAAGUCGAGCGGAUGAAGGGAGCUUGCUCCUGGAUUCAGCGGCGGACGGGUGAGUAAUGCCUAGGAAUCUGCCUGGUAGUGGGGGAUAACGUCCGGAAACGGGCGCUAAUACCGCAUACGUCCUGAGGGAGAAAGUGGGAGAUCUUCGGACCUCACGCUAUCAGAUGAGCCUAGGUCGGAUUAGCUAGUUGGUGGGGUAAAGGCCUACCAAGGCGACGAUCCGUAACUGGUCUGAGAGGAUGAUCAGUCACACUGGAACUGAGACACGGUCCAGACUCCUACGGGAGGCAGCAGUGGGGAAUAUUGGACAAUGGGCGAAAGCCUGAUCCAGCCAUGCCGCGUGUGUGAAGAAGGUCUUCGGAUUGUAAAGCACUUUAAGUUGGGAGGAAGGACAGUAAGUUAAUACCUUGCUGUUUUGACGUUACCAACAGAAUAAGCACCGGCUAACUUCGUG
rnacentral:rRNA from 1 species